CGGCUUGUCCGUCGGUUGUGAAAGCCCGGGGCUUAACCCCGGGUCUGCAGUCGAUACGGGCAGGCUAGAGUUCGGUAGGGGAGAUCGGAAUUCCUGGUGUAGCGGUGAAAUGCGCAAAUAUCANGAGGAACACCGGUGGCGAAGGCGGAUCUCUGGGCCGAUACUGACGCUGAGGAGCGAAAGCGUGGGGAGCGAACAGGAUUAAAUACCCUGGUAGUCCACGCCGUAAACGGUGGGCACAUAGGUGUGGGCACCAUUC
rnacentral:rRNA from 1 species